AUACUGAAAUGCAUGGUGGGGAAUCAAUGCGAAAUUCGUUGGCUGUACCUGCAACCGUAAAGUCGGAGCGCCACCCAGUAG
ncrna:unclassified sequences AdoCbl variant RNA